rnacentral:rRNA from 2 species
GGUGAUUAACACGUGGGUAACCUGCCCAUAAAACUGGGAUAACUCCGGGAAACCGGGGCUAAUACCGGAUAACAUUUUGAACCGCAGGGUUCGAAAUUGAAAGGCGGCUUCGGCUGUCACUUAUGGAUGGACCCGCGUCGCAUUAGCUAGUUGGUGAGGUAACGGCUCACCAAGGCAACGAUGCGUACCCAACCUGAGAGGGUGAUCGGCCACACUGGGACUGAAACACGGCCCAAACUCCUACGGGAGGCAGCAUUAGGGAAUCUUCCGCAAUGGACAAAAGUCUGACGGAGCAACGCCCCGGGAGUGAUGAAGGCUUUCGGGUCGUAAAACUCUGUUGUUAGGGAAAAACAAGUGCUAUUUGAAUAAGCUGGCACCUUGACGGUACCUAACCAAAAAGCCACGGCUAACUACUUGCCACCACCCGCGGUAAUACUUAGGUGGCAAGCUUUAUCCGGAAUUAUGGGGCGUAAAGCGCGCGCAGGUGGUUUCUUAAGUCUGAUGUGAAAGCCCACGGCUCACCCGUGGAGGGUCAUUGAAAACUGGGGAAACUUGAGUGCAGAAAAGAAAAGUGAAAUUCCAUGUGUAGCGGUGAAAUGCUAAGAGAUAUGGAGAAACACCAUUGGCGAAGGCGAC